CCCUCCCACAAAGACAUGCUUUAGGUUCCCUGUGCUUGGACAUGUAAGAAUUGGAGGCAAAGAAAUGUGGAUUUGGAGGGGGUUGGAGAGAUGGCUCAGAGGUUAAGAGUACUGACUGCUCUUGCAGAG
ensembl:snoRNA